rfam:Roseovarius nanhaiticus strain DSM 29590 genome assembly, contig: Ga0104494_101
GGGCACCUACGGGGGCCUAUACCAAUGGCGGGCCAAGCCCGCCCCACAUAGGCAGGGACCACACACCCUGUCGUUUGCUAAACGGAAGACAGAAA